UACGUAGGCAGCGAGCGUUAUUCGGAAUUAUUGGGCGUAAAGGGCGCGUAGGCGGCGAUUCAAGUGACGGGUGAAAUCCCUCGGCUUAACCGAGGAACUGCCUGUCAGACUGGGUUGCUUGAGACCGGGAGAGGCGAGUGGAAUUCCUGGUGUAGCGGUGAAAUGCGCAGAUAUCAGGAGGAACACCGGUGGCGAAGGCGGGUCUCUGGGCCGAUACUGACGCUGAGGAGCGAAAGCGUGGGGAGCGAACAGG
rnacentral:rRNA from 1 species